rnacentral:rRNA from 1 species
GACGAACGCUGGCGGCGUGCCUAAUACAUGCAAGUAGGACGCAGUUGCGAACGUGUUAGUAACGCGUAGGUAACUACCUAUUAGUGGGUGAUAACUAUUGGAAACGAUAGCUAAUACCGCAUACUAGUAGAUGGACCUGCGUUGUAUUAGCUAGUAUGUAGGGUAAUGGCCUACCUAGGCAACGAUACAUAGCCGAGCUGAGAGGGUGAGCGGCCAACCGUGGACUGUGGAACGGCCCCGAAUCCUACGGGGUGCAGCAGUAGGGGAUUUGUGGAAAUGGGGGGAAACCUGACCGCGCACCGCCGGCUGAGUGAAGAAGGUUUUCGGAUUGUAAAGCUAUGUUGUUCAGGAAGCGGUACUUACCCAGAAAGGGACGGCUAACUACGUGCCAGCAGCCGCGGUAAUAC